rnacentral:rRNA from 1 species
AUUGAACGCUGGCGGCAGGCCUAACACAUGCAAGUCGAACGGUAACAGGAAGAAGCUUGCUUCUUUGCUGACGAGUGGCGGACGGGUGAGUAAUGUCUGGGAAACUGCCUGAUGGAGGGGGAUAACUACUGGAAAUGGUAGCUAAUACCGCAUAACGUCGCAAGACCAAAGAGGGGGACCUUCGGGCCUCUUGCCAUCGGAUGUGCCCAGAUGGGAUUAGCUAGUAGGUGGGGUAACGGCUCACCUAGGCGACGAUCCCUAGCUGGUCUGAGAGGAUGACCAGCCACACUGGAACUGAGACACGGUCCAGACUCCUACGGGAGGCAGCAGUGGGGAAUAUUGCACAAUGGGCGCAAGCCUGAUGCAGCCAUGCCGCGUGUAUGAAGAAGGCCUUCGGGUUGUAAAGUACUUUCAGCGGGGAGGAAGGGAGUAAAGUUAAUACCUUGGCUCAUUGACGUUACCCGCAGAAGAAGCACCGGCUAACUCCGUG